CAAUAGCGUAUAUUAAAGUUGUUGCAGUUAAAAAGCUCGUAGUUGGAUUUCGGGGUGGCCUGCCUGGUCCACCGCAAGGUGAGUACUGGUCAGCUGCCCUUCCUCUCGAAAGCCCCGACUGCUCUUCGUUGCAGUGGUCGGGUAGUUCGGGACGUUUACUUUGAAAAAAUUAGAGUGUUCAAGGCAGGCUGUCGCCUGAAUACAUUAGCAUGGAAUAAUGGAAGAGGACCUCGGUCCUAUUUUGUUGGUUUCUAGGGCCGAAGUAAUGAUUAAGAGGGACAGUUGGGGGCAUUCGUAUUUAAUUGUCAGAGGUGAAAUUCUUGGAUUUAUGAAAGACGAACUAGUGCGAAAGCAUUUGCCAAGGAUGUUUUCAUUA
rnacentral:rRNA from 1 species